AGUGAACGCUGGCGGUAGGCCUAACACAUGCAAGUCGAACGGCAGCACAGUAAGAGCUUGCUCUUACGGGUGGCGAGUGGCGGACGGGUGAGGAAUACAUCGGAAUCUACUUUUUCGUGGGGGAUAACGUAGGGAAACUUACGCUAAUACCGCAUACGACCUACGGGUGAAAGCAGGGGAUCUUCGGACCUUGCGCGAUUGAAUGAGCCGAUGUCGGAUUAGCUAGUUGGCGGGGUAAAGGCCCACCAAGGCGACGAUCCGUAGCUGGUCUGAGAGGAUGGUCAGGCACGGUGGAAGUGAGAAACGGAGCAGGCUACAAGGGGAGGCAGCAGUGGGGAAUAUUGGACAAUGGGCGCAAGGGUGAUCCAGCCAUACCGCGUGGAUGAAGAAGGCCUUCGGGUUGUAACGCCCUUUUGGUGGGAAAGAAAAGCAGCAGGUUAAGACCACGCCGUUCUGACGGUAGCCAAAGAAUAAGCACCGGCUAACUUCGUG
rnacentral:rRNA from 1 species